UGAGUAACACGUGGGUAACCUGCCCUAAAGUCUGGGAUACCACUUGGAAACAGGUGCUAAUACCGGAUAACAACAAUAGCUGCAUGGCUAUUGCUUAAAAGGCGGCGAAAGCUGUCGCUAAAGGAUGGACCCGCGGUGCAUUAGCUAGUUGGUAAGGUAAUGGCUUACCAAGGCGACGAUGCAUAGCCGAGUUGAGAGACUGAUCGGCCACAUUGGGACUGAGACACGGCCCAAACUCCUACGGGAGGCAGCAG
rnacentral:rRNA from 1 species